rnacentral:rRNA from 1 species
AGUGAACGCUGGCGGUAGGCCUAACACAUGCAAGUCGAACGGCAGCACAGUAAGAGCUUGCUCUUACGGGUGGCGAGUGGCGGACGGGUGAGGAAUACAUCGGAAUCUACUUUUUCGUGGGGGAUAACGUAGGGAAACUUACGCUAAUACCGCAUACGACCUACGGGUGAAAGCAGGGGAUCUUCGGACCUUGCGCGAUUGAAUGAGCCGAUGUCGGAUUAGCUAGUUGGCGGGGUAAAGGCCCACCAAGGCGACGAUCCGUAGCUGGUCUGAGAGGAUGAUCAGCCACACUGGAACUGAGACACGGUCCAGACUCCUACGGAAGGCAGCAGUGGGGAAUAUUGGACAAUGGGCGCAAGCCUGAUCCAGCCAUACCGCGUGGGUGAAGAAGGCCUUCGGGUUGUAAAGCCCUUUUGUUGGGAAAGAAAAGCAGCAGGUUAAUACCCCGCUGUUCUGACGGUCCCCAAAGAAUAAGCACCGGCUAACUUCGUG